CUAAUGUUUGCCAGUCGCUGUCAGUUCAGCGAUCGGGUUUAGCAGCUCGGCAC
rnacentral:ncRNA from 1 species